rnacentral:lncRNA from 1 species
GUUCCAAAGAGCUUAGGAUUUUUUUGCCUACUGUUUAUCGGGAUGAUCAAAAUCCUUUUUCAGAGUAAAAAGAGAUGCUAUAUUUAGGGAAGGGGGAAUAGAAAAAUGAGGUAUAGAAAACCAAAGAAUUAUCAUGGUAUAAAAUAAAAUCAGAGCUGGAAACUGACAAAAGAACAAUAACAGCAUUAGAUUAAAAAUAAAUAAAAAGGUAGAGCCAUAUAAAAUGAAUAUGAAUCUCUUUAGUCAAUAAACUGUGUCUUGUUUCGUUUUUGAGAAGCAUAAUAUUACCAAAACCAUAGUGAAAAUAAUGAGUACAGAAGGAUAUAUGGUAUAACCAGCUGUGGGAAUUUCUAGGCUGGCUUCUGUGCUAAUUAUUAAGUAUCCCAGCUCUCAUCCUAUAUUCAAACUAAGCAUCCAUAAACUCUUUCAGCAGGAUGAAACAUAGGAAGAUAUUCAAAUACCAAAGUAACUAUGGAAAUGGGAGGAACAAAGAAGAAUUCUUGAAAGUCUCUGAGUAAAGAUAAAAGCAAAACAGAAAAAAGAAGAUCUCACAGCAGGGGCCUGUGACAGCUCUUCAAAUCAGGAAGUCAGAGAAGAUGAAGUGGAGCAGAGCCAAAUCUCCACAUCCAGGGAGAUGGCCUGUAGAUUACAACUACCCUGUUGACUUUCAGGUACUCACACAGGAAAACAGAACUGGAAACAUAAAAACGUGUCUCCACCCUCUUCAAGUUAUGCCUUUGGAAUGGACCAUAAAACCGCAUUUCAAUUGUAAGUUGGCAUGUAAGUAAAUAAAACUUUUACAAGUAAUAUAAAUGAGUGUGUUGUCAAGAGGAUCCUAGGUAUGUAUAAAUCCUUUAAUUACAAUUUCUAGUGCUAAUGUUUAUCCUUUAAUUAGAGGUGUAUAGUAGGCUUCUUUGUGGGGGCAGAGGAGUAAACUGGAACCAUAUGGAUGCUGCCUCAUUUUCAUCUGAGCCCUUCCAGGGAUUGUAAACCUUAAAGUGGCAUUGGAACCCACUACUUUAGAAUCUGCUAAGAAAGGUGAGAACAGUAAGUCUUUGUGCAAAGGCUGAAUGUACAUAGGGAAGUGUAGCCCUAAAUCUGUUUGCUCCCACAUGUUUUUGCCCCGUUUUGCUUUGACUAAUUAUAUAAUCUGCGAUGUAAGAGAGCCAAGUGAUUUUACCUGUCUUGCUGAUUACACAGUUUGGAUUAGCCUUUUGGUAUGGGGUGGCUUUUAAUCGGCUUUAGAUUUGGAGCUAUAAACAAUAGGGCUUCCCUGAGAGAGAAAACUAUUGAGAAGACCAGAAAGAGAGAGAGACAGAAAGGACAGGAUUUGAUUUUGGUGAGGUAAAAACAACUCAGCCUCUGGGUAGGAAUUUUCGUUUGCUACUUAUUGGCUUUGUGCUUGGCAAGGUUUGAACUUCUCUGGAAUUGUUUCCUCAUCUACAAAAUGGGGAUAAUAACACCUUCCUAGCUAGGCAAUAAUGAGAUUUAGAGACAGUGUGUAUGAAGUGCCUGGCAUCUUGGAAGCCCAUGACAACUGUCUGAUAUAGUUAUUACAGGUUUUUUUUUUUUUAAUUGAAAGAGCUCAUCUUUCAGCAUUGUAAGCAGUCCUCAAAAAAACCAGGGUUCAGGGCAAAUGUGAUUACUGCUGAUGAUAACUUUUUUGGUGCCUUUUUCUUAUUUCCUUGCCCUUUUCAUGUCCCUUGUUUUCCUCUGAUUAAUGUUCCAAACUGACCCUUAUCAGCCUCUCUCCUUUUUUAUCAUACUUUCAGAAAAUUCAAAAUAAACUGCAGGGGCUGAUGAGACCAAAUAAUUGCAGACAGACUUUGUUUAGAAGUCAAAAAUCGCCUCUUUCCUUUGCCCUGACGACUUUUCUCCUUCUGGUCUUUUCUCUCCCUACAUGUCAGUAUUAAAAUGUAUUGUUAGAUCGACAGAUGCAUCACCUGACACUUUGGUGAGUGAAGACAUAGAUUUGGAUAAUAGACAUAGCUGAAACAUUUUCCUGGGGGUGUCCAGUUCUAUUAUUUACACAACCAUUGUUAUUCCAGAAAAUAACUGGUAGAUUCCUCCUCCAAACUGGUAAAGUUCUUAUAGAUGUGGACUAAGGAGCUGUUUUCCCAAGGGAUUCAUUAGAUUUUGAUUAGCCUCUAAUAUGUUUGUUCAAAAUGACAUGGAGGAUUUCCCCCAGGCCAGGCUGGGGUUGCCAGCUGUGACAGAGAUGGACAUUUAAUUUGUUUGUGAUUGGGUUGUCAAGGCUGGACAUUUGUCAUUUGAGAGUUCUACUUUACUCCUUUUCCCCAAAUCUACUUC